rnacentral:rRNA from 1 species
GACGAACGCUGGCGGCGUGCUUAACACAUGCAAGUCGAACGGUGAAGCGAGUGCUUGCACUCGUGGAUCAGUGGCGAACGGGUGAGUAACACGUGAGUAACCUGCCCAUCACUCUGGGAUAAGCACUGGAAACGGUGUCUAAUACUGGAUACGACCAACCCUUGCAUGGGGUGUUGGUGGAAAGAUUUAUCGGUGAUGGAUGGACUCGCGGCCUAUCAGCUUGUUGGCGGGGUAAUGGCCCACCAAGGCGACGACGGGUAGCCGGCCUGAGAGGGUGACCGGCCACACUGGGACUGAGACACAGCCCAGACUCCUACGGGAGGCAGCAGUGGGGAAUAUUGCACAAUGGGCGAAAGCCUGAUGCAGCGACGCCGCGUGAGGGAUGACGGCCUUCGGGUUGUAAACCUCUUUCAGCAGGGAAGAAGCGAAAGUGACGGUACCUGCAGAAGAAGCACCGGCUAACUACGUG